CAAUAGCGUAUAUUAAAGUUGUUGCGGUUAAAAAGCUCGUAGUUGGAUCUCGGCAGGCAGGGGGUGGUUCGCUCUUAGCGCUACUGCCCCAUUUGCCUGUGUGAUUGGCAGAGGUUUCGGGGUGCUCUUCGUUGAGUGACCCGGGGCGCCGUCAGGUUUACUUUGAAAAAAUUAGAGUGCUCAAAGCAGGCUUUUCACGCUUGAAUAUUCGUGCAUGGAAUAAUGGAAUAGGAACUCGUUUCUAUUUUGUUGGUUUUCGGAAAUCGAGUUAAUGAUUAAUAGGGACAAUUGGGGGCAUUAGUAUUCAGACGACAGAGGUGAAAUUCUUGGACCGUCUGAAGACUAACUACUGCGAAAGCAUUUGCCAAGAGUGUUUUCAUUAA
rnacentral:rRNA from 1 species